AUUGAACGCUGGCGGCAGGCCUAACACAUGCAAGUCGAACGAGUGGCGGACGGGUGAGUAAUGUCUGGGAAACUGCCUGAUGGAGGGGGAUAACUACUGGAAACGGUAGCUAAUACCGCAUACCAUCGGAUGUGCCCAGAUGGGAUUAGCUAGUAGGUGGGGUAAAGGCUAACAUAGGCGACGAUCCCUAGCUGGUCUGAGAGGAUGACCAGCAACACUGGAACUGAGACACGCUCCGGACUCCUCCGGUAGGAAGCAGGGGGGAAUAUUGCACAAUGGGCGCAAGCCUGAUGCAGCCAGGCCGCGUGGAUGAAGAAGGCCUUCGGGUUGUAAAGUACUUUCAGCGGGGAGGCGUUACCCGCAGAAGAAGCACCGGCUAACUCCGUGCCAGCAGCCGCGGUAAUUC
rnacentral:rRNA from 1 species